rnacentral:rRNA from 1 species
CAGCAGCCGCGGGAAUACAGAGGGUGCAAGCGUUAAUCGGAGUUACUGGGCGUAAAGGGCGCGUAGGCGGUUAUAUAAGUGAGAUGUGAAAUCCCUGGGCUUAACCUAGGAACCGCAUCUUAUACUGUAUGGCUAGAGUAUUGUAGAGGGUAGUGGAAUUUCCGGUGUAGCGGUGAAAUGCGUAGAGAUCGGAAGGAACACCAGUGGCGAAGGCGGCUUCCUGGAAGAUACCUGACUCUGAAACACGAAAGCCAGGGGAGCGAAUGGGAUUAGAUACCCCCGUAGUCCCUGUCUCUUAUAA